rnacentral:rRNA from 1 species
GGAAGUACAACGAGUCGCAAACCGGCGACGGUAAGCUAAUCUCUUAAAACUUCUCUCAGUUCGGACUGGAGUCUGCAACUCGACUCCACGAAGGCGGAAUCGCUAGUAAUCGCGAAUCAGCAUGUCGCGGUGAAUACGUUCCCGGGUCUUGUACACACCGCCCGUCAAAUCAUGGGAGUCGGAAGUACCCAAAGUCGCUUGGCUAACUUUUAGAGGCCGGUGCCUAAGGUAAAAUCGAUGACUGGGAUUAAGUCGUAACAAGGUAGCCGUAGGAGAACCUGCGGCUGGAUCACCUCCUUUCUAAGGA